GCGCCCAUAGCUCAGUUGGUAGAGCAACGGACUUUUAAUCCGUGGGUCCCAGGUUCGAGACCUGGUGGGCGCACCA
rnacentral:tRNA from 1 species